rnacentral:rRNA from 1 species
CCUACGGGGGGCAGCAGUGAGGAAUAUUGGUCAAUGGACGCAACUCUGAACCAGCCAAGUCGCGUGCAGGAUGACGGCCCUAUGGAUUGUAAACUGCUUUUAUGCGGGGAUAAACUGAGUGACGUGUGGCGUUUUGUAUGUACCGCAUGAAUAAGGAUCGGCUAAUUCCGUGCCAGCAGCCGCGGUAAUACGGAGGAUCCGGGCGUUAUCCGGAUUUAUUGGGUUUAAAGGGUGCGUAGGCGGCCUCUUAAGUGAGUUGUGAAAGUCUGUGGCUCAACCAUGGCACUGCCGCGGGAACUGGGGGGCUUGAGUGUGCCUGAGGCAGGCGGAAUGCGUGGUGUAGCGGUGAAAUGCUUAGAUAUCACGCAGAACCCCGAUUGCGAAGGCAGCCUGCCGUGGCAUUACUGACGCUGAGGCACGAAGGUGUGGGGAUCGAACAGGAUUAGAUACCCGUGUAGUC